rnacentral:rRNA from 1 species
AACGAACGCUGGCGGCAGGCUUAACACAUGCAAGUCGAGCGCCCCGCAAGGGGAGCGGCAGACGGGUGAGUAACGCGUGGGAAUCUACCCUGAUCUACGGAAUAGCUCCGGGAAACUGGAAUUAAUACCGUAUGUGCCCUGUGGGGCAAAGGUUGACCCGGAUUGGGAUGAGCCCGCGUUGGAUUAGCUAGUUGGUGGGGUAAAGGCCUACCAAGGCGACGAUCCAUAGCUGGUCUAAGAGGAUGAUCAGCCACAUUGGGACUGAGACACGGCCCAAACUCCUACGGGAGGCAGCAGAGGGGAAUAUUGGACAAUGGGCGCGAGCCUGAUCCAGCCAUGCCGCGUGAGUGAUGAAGGCCUUAGGGUUGUAAAGCUCUUUCACCGAUGAAGAUAAUGACGGUAGUCGGAGAAGAAGCCCCGGCUAACUUCGUGCCAGCAGCCGCGGUAACAC